UACGGGGGGAGCAAGCGUUGUUCGGAUUUACUGGGCGUAAAGGGCGCGUAGGCGGCGCAACAAGUCACUUGUGAAAUCUCCGGGCUUAACCCGGAGCGGCCAAGUGAUACUGUCGUGCUAGAGUGCGGAAGGGGCUACUGGAAUUCUCGGUGUAGCGGUGAAAUGCGUAGAUAUCGGGAGGAACACCAGUGGCGAAGGCGGUUGCCUGGAGCUUUGCUGACGCUGAGGCGCGAAAGCGUGGGGAGCGAUCCGG
rnacentral:rRNA from 1 species